rnacentral:rRNA from 1 species
UACGUAGGGUGCGAGCGUUAAUCGGAAUUACUGGGCGUAAAGCGUGCGUAGACGGUUAUGUAAGUCAGAUGUGAAAGCCCCGGGCUUAACCUGGGAAUGGCAUUUGAGACUGCAUAGCUAGGGUGCGGAAGAGGGAAGCGGAAUUUCCGGUGUAGCGGUGAAAUGCGUAGAUAUCGGAAGGAACACCAGUGGCGAAAGCGGCUUCCUGGUCCAGCACCGACGUUCAAGCACGAAAGCGUGGGGAGCAAACAGG